CCCCUAGACGUUCUGGGCUGCACGCGCGCUACAAUAAUACGCACAGCGAGUAUCACCGAGCUCGAAAGGGCAAGGUAAACAAUAGAAAAGGUACUGUAAUGGUUAUAGAUCCUUGUAAUUAUUGAUCUUCAACGAGGAAUUCCUAGUAAGUAUGUGUCAUCAUCACGCACUGAUUACGUCCCUGCCCUUUGUACACACCGCCCGUCGCUCCUACCGAUUGGGUGAGCCGAUGAAACUCUCGGAUGUAGGCUAUUCAUAGCCCGCAGAAGAGAGUUGAAUCGUAGCGCUUAGAGGAAGGAGAAGUCGUAACA
rnacentral:rRNA from 1 species